rnacentral:tRNA from 1 species
GCUGGUGUAGUUCAGUGGUAGAGCACUUGCCUAGCAUGCCUGAGGCCUUGGGUUCAGUCCCCAGCACUGCA